rnacentral:rRNA from 1 species
AUGAUACAUGAACUAGGCACUAGGCAGCUGCAUGAUGGCAGCGCACACAAGCUGGUCUUAGGGUCCAGAGCAAAGCGGCAUCAGAAGAAGAAAAAGAAGAAAGCCGUACCCCGCGACGCUGUACAAAUUACGGCCGUGUCUCCCAGCUUGGCUCAUUCUGCAUCCUGCACACUCAAAAUCGCAAGCAGCAUUCGCUUCCCCUCUGCUGCCUCCACCCCAUCUCCGUCUCUCCUCCGGAUGGCGCCGCAGAAGGUGGUCGUGAAGGUCUCUUCUAUGAGCGACGAGAGGGUGAAGCAGAAGGCCAUGGAAACCGUUGCAGACAUCUAUGGUAUCGACUCAAUAGCCGCGGACCACAAGGAUCAGAAGAUGACGGUGAUAGGUGAUAUGGACAGCGUCGUGAUCGCCAAGAAGCUGCGGAAGUUCGGGAGGAUCGACAUCCUGUCCGUUGGGCCGGCGAAAGAAGAGAAGAAGGAUGAUAAGAAAGGGGAGAAGAAGUGA